GAUGAUCCUUUGAAGAGCAAUAGCUUUAAAAGGAACAACCAAACCUAGCUAUCAGAUUGUUGGUUUCAGUAAUGUUCUUGUAAGCAAGUACAACAAAAGAAGUCUAAGAUGGAGUGUCAAGAAGCAACUCACUACGCCAAAAGCAAGCAACAUCUCAGAGCGGUCCGCCAACCAGUAAAGAUCAAACAGUCUGGAAGAUGCUCUCCCCUGCACAAACUGCGUCCACCCCUGCCCAAAGGGGAACAGCACAACUCUGCCCUCAGGGUCACUUGGCCGUGGAGGACCUCCAGGAAUGCUAGGGACCAAGCUUGCAUGGCCAGAGCCAGCACGCUCAGCACCCUGCUCCUGUCUGCGAGGAAAGGGGAAGUGUAAGACAGCUGCCUUUCUGUAACUUUGUGAUGUUCUUUGCAGUAAUCAUCACUCUUUCAUAAGGGCAGUAAAUAGCUGUAUUCCAUAUGCAUCCAAUUACUGUGUAGUAAUUAAUGCAUACAUUUAGUCUGUCCUAACCCAAACCACAACACCAUAGGGUUUUCAAGUUGUUAUCUUAUGAAUCUGAAGUUGUUAUUAGUUUGCUGUGAGCCCAUGUGAUAUAACGUGCCUUUUAAUGUUUCUUCUUGGUAUGUAUUUUGAAAAUGAAGAGUAAGUAUUCUGGGGAGGGGGGAAAUGUGAUUUUUUUUCUCCACGUAUCAUGCCAUGAAAAACAUGGCCUUUGUUGGAGUGGUGUCUCAAAAUUAUUGCAGGCUUCAGACUGUAUUUCAUGGAAAUAAUAUCUGAAACAUUUUGUAUAUAUUGUAUUAACUUGAUCAAACUCUGUUCAUAAACAUUUUAUGACCUUGUGUGUCUCUGAAUCUCCUGGUCCUGCAAUCUGUUUCAGAAUAAGAGGCACACGUAAUACAACAUAUUGCACAUAAGUGUAAAAAGCAGUAGUCUGAGGAUUGUCAGUCUCGGAAAUAUAUAGAUGUGUUACCUGGAGCUUAAUUUGUUUAUUCUGUAGACUGGCUCUGCCAUAAGAUAGGGAGGCAGUCUAGUAAUCAGUGAGUUCUGCUUAUGUAUGUAUUAUUUAAUUAUUGGUGUAGAUCUUCCUCCACAUGGAAUUCUAACUGAUAGUCAGAAUUGACUGUUUUAAUUAUGAUUUAAGUGAGACAUUUUAAAAUUAUUUAGGUGAAGGUUUCCUGUUCCGUAGAUGAAUCGUUUUAAAUGUGCUGGUAAUUUAUACUUCUUCCUUUCUUUAGGUAUUGAUUUUUAUUGUGUGGUAUAAGUCAUUACUAUGAAGGAUACACUGCAUUUGCAUAUUUGCUUAUAUGUUUAAGAUAUUAUUUUUAUCUGUAAUAUUUAUUCUUCUGUUGGAAAUGUUCCAUGCGUCCUCUUCAAUUUCGGGUAACUCUUUUUGCCUGUAUUCUGGUGUUCUGGGAGAGUAUUUUGAGAAAAUACUGCUGUAUGUUUGUUUUCUUCUUAAAUUCUUUCUUGGGCAUCACCUGUUAGAAAUUGUCAGAGAAAAGAUUCUGGGCCAGAGGAACUGAUAUGCCCUAAUAUGGUCAUUCUCACGUUCUCUAUUUGGAUAGUUACUGCAACACAAAUGAAGUGCACAGAUAUGUUAAUUUUUAAAUAACUCUUAGUUAAACAGAGCUACCUCUAAACCUGUUGCAUAUACAUGAAUCAACCUGAGUUUGCAUUAGCAGAACUUUUUUUCAGUAAGACUUUUAUCUUAACUUGCUGAUCUUUUUAGUGAUUGCCCCUUUAGAUAGGGAUAGUCCAGUCAUGGGAUUACUUAUUAGCUUUAGCUAAUUUAAUGUAAUGCAAAAAACUAGAUGAAGUAUGGAAAGAGUAUAGGCAAGCUGAAUUUGAGCCUGGCACAAAUAGAUUGUGCUAAAGCUGGAAAUGUUAAAUAGUGUUAGUGAGGAAGUUACAGCUGGCAUGUGAACCAGUGCAUGUAAGCAAAGUUUUAAGAAUUUAGAAUGCAACAUAGAUACACUACUUCAAGAGUCAGGCUGGAUACAAAGGAAGUGUAGCCAUAAUCAUUAGAUAUUGUAUGGGAAUUUCUAAACUCUACCAAACCUGAGUUGGGCUUCAUGAUUCUAACUUGAAAGUCUGAAUCUGUGAACAGUGUUUACCUCUGAUUAUUCUCCUGUAAAAGUCAAAGUGGAAAUAGGAUGCAGAAGUUUUUAUGGUAUUAUGGCAAGGUAGACCAUGCAAGGCUGAAGAUUGGCAUUAGCUCUUUUGGUUGCAGAGCUAUAAAACUGCAGUGUCUUGUCUCCAGUUGAAUUUUAUAGGUGGCCAGUGCUAGUUUUUUUGUGAAUAAAAAUGCAUUGUUUUGGCA
ensembl:lncRNA